UACAAGUGGAAUCCAGAACCCACGUUAAAAAACGGGGCAAACCGAAAAGCCAUAACAGUUGGAAAAUU
rfam:Bacteroidetes bacterium RIFCSPLOWO2_12_FTLL_37_12 rifcsplowo2_12_scaffold_37, whole genome shotgun sequence.